GCAAAAUGUUCACUUCUUUGCUCUUCUGCAGUUGUUUGGUCGCCUUUUUGUCCGCCGGCUUGGUCAGCACCAAAGGCCAGGUGGACUACACAACUUAUGGCAAUCUACUGGCGCUACUUUCCGGUAAUACGGAGUUGGCAUCACCCGAUAGGGUACCGUAUCUGCGAAGACUUCCCCAGCAUCAAGUUGCAUCACGGCCUUAUUAUGCAUAUCCAGUCAUCGGCUACAAGUCGUAUUAUCCAAUCCAUUUCCGGAAAUCAUACGCUGAUAUAUAUCGUCCACAAAUGUUUACCGGAUGUUUAAGCGAUCAGAUGAAUCAGAUGAGCUUCCGAAUCCGUUUGGAUUAUUCCCUCGUUUCUUUUUGAUGCAGUUAAAUUCGUUUAUUGAGAGAGCAGUAAAUGACAUUGCAUACUUGUUGAGAGGUACCCCUGGUCCACCAGGCUAUGAAGGUGCUCAGGGACCAGUCGGUCCACCUGGACCAACUGGGCCUGCUGGAUCCACAGGGCCAACUGGGCCUGCUGGACCUGCUGGACCUGCUGGACCAACUGGACGUUAAGCACGAACGCUUUCUUAAUAUGUUUUCAACUAAAAAAUUCUAAAUAUGGUAAUAACUAAUAAAGGCAUCCGAAAUGAGUUCGUGGUAUUCACAUGUUAUACUGUUGAUAGGCGAUGGGUUCUACAUCUACAUCUAUUUGAAAUUGCGUGUUCUCUUAAUAUAAAAUAAUAAACUGCAUC